rnacentral:rRNA from 1 species
CGUAGGUGAACCUGCGGAAGGAUCAUUAUAGAAUUCCAAUUGGGUCAGGUUGUGCUGGCUGAAAAGCAAGUGCACGCCUGCUCAUAAGCAUUCAAACCUCUGUGCACCUUUCAUGGAAUAGCUUGUGGAUUGGGUGACCUAUGUUGCUUGAUUUACAGCUGCUCUGUGUUUUUAUAAACUUCUUAAUCAGUUCAGAAUGUCUAUUGUGUUAAUACACAUCUUUAUACAACUUUCAGCAACGGAUCUCUUGGCUCUCGCAUCGAUGAAGAACGCAGCGAAAUGCGAUAAGUAAUGUGAAUUGCAGAAUUCAGUGAAUCAUCGAAUCUUUGAACGCACCUUGCGCUCCUUGGUAUUCCGAGGAGCAUGCCUGUUUGAGUGUCAUGGUAUUCUCAAUUCUUCAGGUCUUUUUGUGAAACUCCCAUGAUAUUGGACUUGGAGGUUUAUUGCUGGCAUCUUGCAGGUGCCUGCUCCUCCUCAAAUGCAUCAGUAUGAAUGUUCACUUCAUGCUCAGUGUGAUAAUUAUCUGCACUGUGUCUGAGUGUUAUGGAUUCAUGCUUCCAACUGUCGUCAAGACAAUUCAUU